rnacentral:lncRNA from 1 species
UGGAAUCAAAAGAAGUAAAGGAAAAAUAUAAAGGAAGAGUAAAGAUGCUUCUUGUCAUUCAUCCAAUACCCAAUAGCUCAAACAUUGUUCCAAGAAAAUUGCUUUAUCCUCCACAAAACUGGUCCUGCUGCUGGCCAAAGAGAAUUGCCGAGAGAGAGCAUAAAAAACGUUGCAGCACCCUCUGAAUCAGGUAAGUGACGGCUGNAGCUGCCUCCUAGGCCAAGUGUCCAAAAAUAAUGAGGUGGGGUCCACCCCAAANCCCUAGGUGCCAUGUGUUCAUUUUUACAAUUGGGCUUAAGCUAUUCUACCAAAAUUAGCCCACAAUGCAAAGAGUUUGUCUAAAAACUUUAAACAAUUAAAUUUACAAUGUAACUAAAUUUAAAAUGACUAAAUUGGGAGUCUUGAAUUAUUUUGUCUCCUCUCAAUGCUCCAAAAUAUAUCUCCAAAAUUUCCCCUGCAAUUANNNNNNNNNNNNNNNNNNNNNNNNNNNNNNNNNNNCAUCAGUUCCUGAACAGGUGGAGAAGGCAUACAAGGAGUCUGGAAUGAUGGUUCCUGAUAUUGAUGCUCUGAAGUACCAUACCAUCCCAAGCUAGGGUCAUUCCAUCCAGGAUCGUUACUGUGACCAUACUGAGCAAGGAAGAAUUUAUCCAAGAACGUAUGCUUAAGAUUUUCCCAAGAAGUGAUGGAUCUUGGAGGAAGAUAAUACAAUCAACCCCUUGCUGCUUCUUGUAAUGAAUACGGAAAUGCCCUUAUAAACAUGACUUCAUCCGGGACAUCAGGAGGUUUCCUUGAAGAGCAAAUGGUGUAGAACUCCUCCAAAUGUCUAUGUGGGCAUUCACCUGCAAAACCAUAAAACCUAGGUAGCAAAUGUAUCAGUCCAGUGUUGAAAACACAACGAAUAUCCUCCUCAUCAAGUGGAACCGGCUCCCUAGGAGCACUCUCAUGAGAUGGAGGAGGAACCAUAAUGUUCUCAACAUAGACAUCAGCUGAGUAUACAUCACAAGCAAUAUCAGAGUCAGAUGCAGAAGGAUAGUCAUAGACACAGGC